AGUGGAAGCGUCUGGAAAGGCGCGCGAUACAGGGUGACAGCCCCGUACACAAAAGCGCAUGUGCUGUGAGCUCGAUGAGUAGGGCGGGACACGUGGUAUCCUGUCUGAAUAUGGGGGGACCAUCCUCCAAGGCUAAAUACUCCUGACUGACCGAUAGUGAACCAGUACCGUGAGGGAAAGGCGAAAAGAACCCCGGCGAGGGGAGUGAAAAAGAACCUGAAACCGUGUACGUACAAGCAGUGGGAGCACAGGUUUACCUGUGUGACUGCGUACCUUUUGUAUAAUGGGUCAGCGACUUAUAUUCUGUAGCAAGGUUAACCGUAUAGGGGAGCCG
rnacentral:rRNA from 1 species